rnacentral:tRNA from 1 species
ACAAACAUAGCUUAAAGAGUAAAGCGUAGAAUAUACCAGUCUGUUAUUUUGUAGGUAAAUAAAAACAACUUGAUAUUCUAAGAUUGAGGUUUGAGUCCUCCUGUUUGUA